ACAUCUUUCUCGGCCAAUUGGGUUUGAUCGAGUGUAGUAUCUUUUCUUUUCAGUGUAAUAGCUGAAACCAGCCCACCACGGGUUGCCAUUACUAUUAACUCAAUUUUUUGUAGGGUCCAGAGUUGUGCUUAAUUGCACACAUUGGUUGGCUUCAAUCAGAUAUUGCACUGAUAGUCAGAUUUAGAGCUAUCCCA
rnacentral:snRNA from 1 species